rnacentral:rRNA from 1 species
UACAGAGGGGGCAAGCGUUAUUCGGAAUUAUUGGGCGUAAAGGGCGCGUAGGCGGCUUUGCAAGUGACGGGUGAAAUCCCUCGGCUUAACCGAGGAACUGCCUGUCAAACUGCAUGGCUUGAGACCGGGAGAGGUGAGUGGAAUUCCCAGUGUAGCGGUGAAAUGCGUAGAUAUCUGGAGGAACACCGGUGGCGAAGGCGGCAUCCUGGACCAAUUCUGACGCUGAGGAGCGAAAGCCAGGGGAGCAAACGGG